rnacentral:rRNA from 1 species
UACGGGGGGGGCAAGCGUUGUUCGGAAUUACUGGGCGUAAAGGGCUCGUAGGUGGCCAACUAAGUCGGACGUGAAAUCCCUCGGCUUAACCGGGGAACUGCGUCUGAUACUGGAUGGCUUGAGUUCGGGAGAGGGAUGCGGAAUUCCAGGUGUAGCGGUGAAAUGCGUAGAUAUCUGGAGGAACACCGGUGGCGAAGGCGGUGCUCUGGGCCGGAACUGACGCUGAGGAGCGAAAGCGUGGGGAGCAAACAGG